rnacentral:rRNA from 1 species
AAUCCCGUGAACCAUCGAGUCUUUGAACGCAAGUUGCGCCCCAAGCCUUCUGGCCGAGGGCACGUCUGCCUGGGUGUCACAAAUCGUCGUCCCCAUCCUNUGCGGAUAAGGGACGGAAGUUGGUCUCCCGUGUGUUACCGCACGCGGUUGGCCUAAAUCUGAG